rnacentral:rRNA from 1 species
AAAAAUUUGGCGGUAUUUUAGUCUAUUCAGAGAAACCUGUUCUGUAAUCGAUAAUCCACGAUGGACCUUACUUAAAUUUGUUUUGAGUUUAUAUACCGUCGUUAUUAGAAUAUUUUAUAAGAAUGUUAAUUUUCAUGAUUUUUAAAAAGAAAUUAUAUCAGAUCAAGGUGUAGCUUAUAUUUAAGUAGAAAUGGGUUACAAUAAAUUUAUUUAAAUGAAUAUAAAUUUGAAAUGUUUAUUGAAGGUGGAUUUGAUAGUAAAAUUAUAAAGAUUAAUAAUUUGAUUUUAGCUCUAAAAU